UACAGAGGUCUCAAGCGUUGUUCGGAUUCAUUGGGCGUAAAGGGUGCGUAGGUGGCGCGGUAAGUCGGGUGUGAAAUUUCGGAGCUUAACUCCGAAACUGCAUUCGAUACUGCCGUGCUUGAGGACUGGAGAGGAGACUGGAAUUUACGGUGUAGCAGUGAAAUGCGUAGAGAUCGUAAGGAAGACCAGUGGCGAAGGCGGGUCUCUGGACAGUUCCUGACACUGAGGCACGAAGGCCAGGGGAGCAAACGGG
rnacentral:rRNA from 1 species